rnacentral:rRNA from 1 species
GAUGAACGCUGGCGGCGUGCCUAAUACAUGCAAGUCGAGCGAACAGACGAGGAGCUUGCUCCUCUGACGUUAGCGGCGGACGGGUGAGUAACACGUGGAUAACCUACCUAUAAGACUGGGAUAACUUCGGGAAACCGGAGCUAAUACCGGAUAACAUGUUGAACCGCAUGGUUCAACAGUGAAAGACGGUUUUGCUGUCACUUAUAGAUGGAUCCGCGUCGCAUUAGCUAGUUGGUAAGGUAACGGCUUACCAAGGCAACGAUGCGUAGCCGACCUGAGAGGGUGAUCGGCCACACUGGAACUGAGACACGGUCCAGACUCCUACAGGAGGCAGCAGUAGGGAAUCUUCCGCAAUGGGCGAAAGCCUGACGGAGCAACGCCGCGUGAGUGAAGAAGGUCUUCGGAUCGUAAAACUCUGUUAUUAGGGAAGAACAAAUGUGUAAGUAACUAUGCACGUCUUGACGGUACCUAAUCAGAAAGCCACGGCUAACUACGUG